rnacentral:rRNA from 1 species
CACGUAGGGCGCAAGCGUUGUCCGGAAUUAUUGGGCGUAAAGAGCUUGUAGGCGGUUUGUCGCGUCUGCUGUGAAAUUUCGGGGCUCAACCCCGAACUUGCAGUGGGUACGGGCAGACUAGAGUGUGGUAGGGGAGACUGGAAUUCCUGGUGUAGCGGUGAAAUGCGCAGAUAUCAGGAGGAACACCAACGGCGAAAGCACUCUGCUGGGCCGACACUGACACUGAGAGACGAAAGCUAGGGGAGCAAAUGGG